rnacentral:rRNA from 1 species
AUGACCUUCAGCGUCUCGCCGGCGAUGGCGGGGGGGCAGGGGCACGAGUACAUGAUCCGCUUCCACAGCCACUUCGACGACCCGUCGCCGAGCACCGCCACCGCCGAGCCGCCGCCGUUUGCCGGAAGGGCGAUCUCGCCGGAGCAGGAGCACGGCGCCAUGGUCGCCGCGCUGCUGCACGUCAUCUCCGGGUACACCACGCCGCCGCCGGACUUCUUCUUCCCGGCCGCCGCGAGCAAGGAGGUGUGCCCGGUGUGCAGGGUCGACGGCUGCCUCGGCUGCGAGUUCUUCGGCGCGGCGGAGGCCACCGGGGCGACCGCAGCGGCAUUGGACGCGCCGAAGUCGGCACCGGCGGCGGUGACCGCGGGCGGGCCGCAGCGGAGGCGGAGGAAUAAGAAGAACAAGUACCGGGGCGUCAGGCAGCGGCCGUGGGGCAAGUGGGCGGCGGAGAUCCGCGACCCGCGCCGCGCCGUGCGGGUGUGGCUCGGGACCUUCGACACCGCCGAGGACGCCGCCAGGGCCUACGACCGCGCCGCCGUCGAGUUCCGCGGCCCGCGCGCCAAGCUCAACUUCCCCUUCCCCGAGCAGCAGCAGCAGCAGCAGCUGGGCGAUGGCAAUGCCGCCCCGGCCAAGUCCGACACGUGCUCGCCCUCGCCCAGCAGCGCGGAAGUCGAUGUCCGGGUCCCGCGGAACGGCGGGCAGGAAACAGGGGAUCAGCUCUGGGACGGCCUGCAGGACCUGAUGAAGCUAGACGAGAGCGAGCUCUGGUUCCCGCCAUCUGGAAAUUCUUGGGACUGA